rnacentral:rRNA from 1 species
UACAGAGGUCUCAAGCGUUGUUCGGAUUCAUUGGGCGUAAAGGGUGCGUAGGCGGCGCGGUAAGUCGGGUGUGAAAUCUUGGAGCUCAACUCCAGAACUGCCUUUGAUACUGGCGAUCUUGAGUCCGGGAGAGGUGAGUGGAACUGCGAGUGUAGAGGUGAAAUUCGUAGAUAUUCGCAAGAACACCAGUGGCGAAGGCGGCUCACUGGCCCGGUACUGACGCUGAGGUGCGAAAGCGUGGGGAGCAAACAGG